AUGCGUAGACUUUCCGGUAUGUCCCUUGUUAAAGCCCUCAGCUCAACUGAGGAAAAGCAUUGGAAACUACCGGAAUCGAGACAGAGAGAGGGAAGUAGAAUUCUCGGUGGAGCGGUGAAAUGCGUUGAUAUCGAGAGGAAUACCAGUGGCGAAGGCGACUUCCUGGCUCUGUUCUGACGUUGAGGCUCGAAAGCGUGGGGAGCAAAAC
rnacentral:rRNA from 1 species